ensembl:snoRNA U8 U8 small nucleolar RNA
UCAAAAGCAGAGAUAAUACUUUGCCAACAAAGGUCCAUCUAGUCAAGGGUGAACAUGAUGAUUGGAGCUCGCAUGAUUCGUGAUUAACGGCUCUGCGUAAUCACGACCUGCAACACCCUGAUUGCUCCUAUCUGAU